rfam:Physcomitrella patens subsp. patens PHYPAscaffold_294 genomic scaffold, whole genome shotgun sequence.
UAAAUGGCUUUUAUAAAAGCCAUGUUUAGAUACCUUGAAUAAUUAU